rnacentral:lncRNA from 1 species
AAAGACAGAGCAUGGCUGCUGGGCAGCCAGGUCAACCGGACGGCAAGGCAGGGGUUGGCCGGGGAAGCACUGCGCCGCCCCUGCAUGCCCUGCAUCCUCGGGUCCUGGGAGGGCUGCUCAGUAACUGGAAGGAAAAUGAAACUGAAAAAGAGCAAGGGUCCCGUAGGAUUGAACACAGUUGGUGAAACUUGGGCCGUCUGCCUCAAGUCCCCGCUUGGCAAAACCACUCCCUCCUGGUGGACGCCCUCACCAUGAAGGCACUGUGACUGACUUCCUGCCGCAGAGGCUAAGAUUCGGCUCGUUCACUCCACAUGUGCACACAGCUCCUACCUGCAGAACACGCCCACCCUUAUGAAGGCCAUGAAAGCAGUGACAGUGCUGUAGGAAAGAGUAAGCUGGAAAAAGAGAAGGUUCAGAACGACAGUGCUGACGCAGACAUCACACAGCGG